ensembl:rRNA 5S_rRNA 5S ribosomal RNA
ACUUACGGCCAUACCACCCUGAGAACGCCCGAUCUCGUCUGAUCUCGGAAGCUAAGCAGGGUCGGGCCUGGUUAGUACUUGGAUGGGAGACCGCCUGGGAAUACCAGGUGCUGUAAGCC